rnacentral:rRNA from 1 species
AGUGAACGCCGGCGGUAGGCCUAACACAUGCAAGUCGAACGGCAGCACAGUAAGAGCUUGCUCUUACGGGUGGCGAGUGGCGGACGGGUGAGGAAUACAUCGGAAUCUACUUUUUCGUGGGGGAUAACGUAGGGAAACUUACGCUAAUACCGCAUACGACCUACGGGUGAAAGCAGGGGAUCUUCGGACCUUGCGCGAUUGAAUGAGCCGAUGUCGGAUUAGCUAGUUGGCGGGGUAAAGGCCCACCAAGGCGACGAUCCGUAGCUGGUCUGAGGGGAUGAUCAGCCACACUGGAACUGAGACACGGUCCAGACUCCUACGGGAGGCAGCAGUGGGGAAUAUUGGACAAUGGGCGCAAGCCUGAUCCAGCCAUACCGCGUGGGUGAAGAAGGCCUUCGGGUUGUAAAGCCCUUUUGUUGGGAAAGAAAAGCAGCAGGUUAAUACCCCGCUGUUCUGACGGUACCCAAAGAAUAAGCACCGGCUAACUUCGUG